rnacentral:rRNA from 1 species
UACGUAGGGUGCAAGCGUUGUCCGGAAUUAUUGGGCGUAAAGAGCUCGUAGGCGGUCUGUCGCGUCGGAUGUGAAAAUCAGGGCUCAACCCUGGACCUGCAUUCGAUACGGGCAGACUAGAGUUCGGUAGGGGGAGACUGGAAUUCCAGGUGUAGCGGUGAAAUGCGUAGAUAUCUGGAGGAACACCGGUGGCGAAGGCGGCAUCCUGGACCGACACUGACGCUGAGGAGCGAAAGCCAGGGGAGCAAACGGG